AGCGAACGCUGGCGGCAGGCCUAACACAUGCAAGUCGAACGAACUCUUCGGAGUUAGUGGCGGACGGGUGAGUAACACGUGGGAACGUGCCUUUAGGUUCGGAAUAACUCAGGGAAACUUGUGCUGAUACCGAAUGUGCCCUUCGGGGGAAAGAUUUAUCGCCUUUAGAGCGGCCCGCGUCUGAUUAGCUAGUUGGUGAGGUAACGGCUCACCAAGGCGACGAUCAGUAGCUGGUCUGAGAGGAUGACCAGCCACACUGGGACUGAGACACGGCCCAGACACCUACGGGAGGCAGCAGUGGGGAAUCUUGCGCAAUGGGCGAAAGCCUGACGCAGCCAUGCCGCGUGAAUGAUGAAGGUCUUAGGAUUGUAAAAUUCUUUCACCGGGGACGAUAAUGACGGUACCCGGAGAAGAAGCCCCGGCUAACUUCGUGCCAGCCGCCGCCGUAACAC
rnacentral:rRNA from 1 species